AGUUGCCUGUUUCAAACAAACAGACCGACCACAACAGGUGGACCGGAAUUCCACGGGAAGGGCAAUCGCCUCCCCAUUAACUUGGGAACGUUAAUUUGGCGCUAUGUGGCACGAAAGAUGAGAGUGCAAUACCACAUCUAGGCAAACCUCAACAGAAGGCAGAAGUUACUGAGGAGCAUUUCCUACCCGGUGCUGGCGCCUUCGCAGUCUGUCUGCAGUCUGUCUCAGUUAAUGGUUCCCCUUCAUGCCCUUCCCCGGCUCUCUUACAGCUGCCUGGCUCUACCCAUGCUGUUUUGGAGCAUCAUGCUGCUGCCUCAUACUGCAGCACUGCAGUGACUCCGUCUGACUUCCUUUCUACCUGGAAAAAAAAACCAAACAAGCAGCAGAUUUUAAAUGAACGUAACUGUUUCAUCAGGCAACUGCUACCGGCAGUGCAUGCAGUAUGGACGAAGAAUUCGCCUGUAGCACCUUAAAGUAAACAUUUUUAUGCCCUACAUGGCAGUGAAAGAAACAGAAGUUUUAAAUAUCA